rnacentral:misc_RNA from 1 species
UGGCUCUCGCAUCGAUGAAGAACGCAGCGAAAUGCGAUAAGUAAUGUGAAUUGCAGAAUUCAGUGAAUCAUCGAAUCUUUGAACGCAACUUGCGCCCUCUGGUAUUCCGGAGGGCAUGCCUGUUUGAGUGUCAUGUAGCCUCAAUCCCCCGGGUUUCUGGGGAAAUUGGACUUGGGCGUUUGCCGUACGGGCUCGCCUUAAAUAACUUAGUGGUAUGACUUGACUGUUGUCGAGAGUAAUAAGUUUCUCUCGAUCAAGUCGGCUCAACCGCUCAUAACACUUUUGUGGAAACACAAUACUUAUGACUCUGACCUCAAAUCAGGUAGGACUACCCGCUGA